rnacentral:rRNA from 2 species
UUUGAUAAGUCUGAUGUGAAAGCCUUUGGCUUAACCAAAGAAGUGCAUCGGAAACUGUCAGACUUGAGUGCAGAAGAGGACAGUGGAACUCCAUGUGUAGCGGUGGAAUGCGUAGAUAUAUGGAAGAACACCAGUGGCGAAGGCGGCUGUCUGGUCUGCAACUGACGCUGAGGCUCGAAAGCAUGGGUAGCGAACAGGAUUAGAUACCCUGGUAGUCCAUGCCGUAAACGAUGAGUGCUAGGUGUUGGAGGGUUUCCGCCCUUCAGUGCCGCAGCUAACGCAUUAAGCACUCCGCCUGGGGAGUACGACCGCAAGGUUGAAACUCAAAGGAAUUGACGGGGGCCCGCACAAGCGGUGGAGCAUGUGGUUUAAUUCGAAGCUACGCGAAGAACCUUACCAGGUCUUGACAUCUUGCGCCAACCCUAGAGAUAGGGCGUUUCCUUCGGGAACGCAAUGACAGGUGGUGCAUGGUCGUCGUCAGCUCGUGUCGUGAGAUGUUGGGUUAAGUCCCGCAACGAGCGCAACCCUUGUUACUAGUUGCCAGCAUUCAGUUGGGCACUCUAGUGAGACUGCCGGUGACAAACCGGAGGAAGGUGGGGACGACGUCAGAUCAUCAUGCCCCUUAUGACCUGGGCUACACACGUGCUACAAUGGACGGUACAACGAGUCGCGAACUCGCGAGGGCAAGCUAAUCUCUUAAAACCGUUCUCAGUUCGGACUGCAGGCUGCAACUCGCCUGCACGAAGUCGGAAUCGCUAGUAAUCGCGGAUCAGCAUGCCGCGGUGAAUACGUUCCCGGGCCUUGUACACACCGCCCGUCACACCAUGAGAGUUUGCAACACCCAAAGUCGGUGGGGUAACCCUUCGGGAGCUAGC